rnacentral:rRNA from 1 species
UAACGCGAAGAACCUUACCUACUCUUUACGUGCAGAGAACCCCCCAACAGAUGGAAUAGAGCCUUCGGGAACUCUGAGACAGGUGCUGCAUAGCUGUCGUCAGCUCGUGUUGUGAAAUGUUGGGUUAAGUUUCGCAACGAGCGCAACCCUUAUUCUUUUUUGCCAGCGGUUCGGCCGGGAACUCAAAGGAGACUGCCAGUGAUAAACUGGAGGAAGGUGGGGAUGACGUCAAGUCAUCAUGGCCAUACGAGUAGGGCUACACACGUGCUACAAUGGCGCAUACAAAGAGAAGCGACCUCGCGAGAGCAAGCGGACCUCAUAAAGUGCGUCGUAGUCCGGAUUGGAGUCUGCAACUCGACUCCAGAAGUCGGAAUCGCUAGUAAUCGUAGAUCAGAAGUCACGGGAAU